UACGAAGGGGGCUAGCGUUGCUCGGAAUCACUGGGCGUAAAGCGCACGUAGGCGGACUCUUAAGUCGGUGGUGAAAUCCUGGAGCUCAACUCCAGAACUGCCUUCGAUACUGGGAGUCUUGAGUCCGGGAGAGGUGAGUGGAACUGCGAGUGUAGAGGUGAAAUUCGUAGAUAUUCGCAAGAACACCAGUGGCGAAGGCGGCUCACUGGCCCGAUACUGACGCUGAUGCACGAAAGCGUGGGGAGCAAACAGG
rnacentral:rRNA from 1 species